rnacentral:rRNA from 1 species
UACAGAGGGUGCGAGCGUUAAUCGGAAUUACUGGGCGUAAAGCGCGCGUAGGCGGCUUUGCAAGUCGGGUGUGAAAUCCCCAGGCUUAACCUGGGAACUGCAUUCGAGACUGCAUUGCUAGAGUAUGGGAGAGGGAAGUGGAAUUUCCGGUGUAGCGGUGAAAUGCGUAGAUAUCGGAAGGAACAUCAGUGGCGAAAGCGACUUCCUGGACCAAUACUGACGCUCAUGAUGCGAAAGCGUGGGGGAGCAAAACGG